UACGUAGGGCGCAAGCGUUAUCCGGAAUUAUUGGGCGUAAAGAGCUCGUAGGCGGUUCGUCGCGUCGGCUGUGAAAUCCCGAGGCUCAACCUCGGGUCUGCAGUCGAUACGGGCGGACUGGAGUUCGGCAGGGGAGACUGGAAUUCCUGGUGUAGCGGUGAAAUGCGCAGAUAUCAGGAGGAACACCGGUGGCGAAGGCGGGUCUCUGGGCCGAUACUGACGCUGAGGAGCGAAAGCGUGGGGAGCAAACAGG
rnacentral:rRNA from 1 species